GACGAACGCUGGCGGCGUGCUUAACACAUGCAAGUCGAGCGGUAAGGCCCUUUCGGGGGUACACGAGCGGCGAACGGGUGAGUAACACGUGGGUGACCUGCCCUUAGCUCCGGGAUAAGCCUGGGAAACUGGGUCUAAUACCGGAUAUGACUCCAUAACGCAUGUUGUGGGGUGGAAAGCCUUGUGCGGCUAGGGAUGGGCCCGCGGCCUAUCAGCUUGUUGGUGGGGUGAUGGCCUACCAAGGCGACGACGGGUAGCCGGCCUGAGAGGGCGACCGGCCACACUGGGACUGAGACACGGCCCAGACUCCUACGGGAGGCAGCAGUGGGAAUCUUGCGCAAUGGGCGAAAGCCUGACGCAGCGACGCCGCGUGGGGAUGACGGCCUCGG
rnacentral:rRNA from 1 species